rnacentral:rRNA from 1 species
GACGAACGCUGGCGGCAUGCCUAAUACAUGCAAGUCGAACGCUGAAGCACUCUGCUUGCAGAGUGCGGAUGAGUGGCGAACGGGUGAGUAACACGUGGGAAAUCUGCCUAUAAGAGGGGGAUAACAUUCGGAAACGGAUGCUAAUACCGCAUAUAUUCUUGGACCGCCUGGUCCUUGAAAGAAAGACGGCUUUGCUGUCGCUUAUAGAUGAUCCCGCGGCGUAUUAGUUAGUUGGUGGGGUAAAGGCCUACCAAGACAAUGAUACGUAGCCGACCUGAGAGGGUGAUCGGCCACACUGGGACUGAGACACGGCCCAGACUCCUACGGGAGGCAGCAGUAGGGAAUCUUCCACAAUGGGCGAAAGCCAGAUGGAGCAAUGCCGCGUGAAUGAAGAAGGUCUUCGGAUCGUAAAGUUCUGUUAUUAGAGAAGAACAAGUCAAGGAGUAACUGUCUUGACUUUGACGGUACCUAACCAGAAAGUCACGGCUAACUACGUG